rnacentral:SRP_RNA from 1 species
GCCGGGCGUGGUGGCGCACGCCUGUAAUCCCAGCACUCAGGAGGCUGAGGCAGGAGGAUCGCUGUGAGUUCAGACCAGCCUGGGCUACAUAAUGAGUUCCAGGUCAGUCUCAACUACAUAGUGAGACCCUGUCUCAA